UCUCCUACAGGCAGUUUGAAGGCCUCAUGCGCUUCUACAAGCCCCGGAUGAGUGCCAGGGAGCGCUAUCUUACCUUCAAGGCCCUGAAUCAGAACAACACACCCCUGCUCAGCCUAAAGGACUUUUACGAUAUCUACGAAGUUGCUGCUUUGAAGUGGAAGGCCAAGAAAAACAGAGAGCACUGGUUUGAUGAGCUUCCCAGGACGGCGCUCCUCAUCUUCAAAGGCAUUAAUAUCCUUGUGAAGUCCAAGGCCUUCCAGUAUUUCAUGUGUAAGUGUGAAAUAUCUCCACUCUAGGCCACUUUCCCCCUGAGUCCUUUGCUGUUCUAGAAGCGGGAGAGGCAAGAGAUUGGUCCUAGAGUCCUGUGUUUGACUUUUUAUUGUGGGGAA
rnacentral:sRNA from 1 species